GAAUCUUCAUCUCUUCUUCAUCCUUUGCAAAGCUAUCAUAGACAUAUAGCUGCAUCUACCCUUGUGUGUUUUGAGGUAUUCAAACAAGCUAUUAUGUAAUCUUUUGAUCUUUUAAUAUAUGGUACUAGCUAUUUAUUCAAUAUUGUUGUUUAUUCUUGCAUUUAAUUGUUUUAUUGAGAUUCAAAAUGAUAUGGACACAUACUUUUGAAUCUAGAAAUAGAAUAACAAUCUAUCUUAAGUUAUCACUCUAGAAAUGGAUGUUAAUAUUUGAUAAUUACUUUUAAUCUAGGACUUAAUGCUUUUGGGUAAUUUAAUCGGUUGGGAAAUCGUCGAUUAAACUAUCCAAUCAACUUUGUGAUCGUUUAAAUGUUUGGGAAAUCGAUGUUUAAACGAUCCCUUAGAAAUAACGAUAUCAUUUGGACACGAAUGAUAUUGACGAGUGAUUGUGAUAAUAUAGUUUAAAAAGCUAGAAUUCGUUAAUCGAUCGAGAGAUUGCAGCUGUUACGCUUGGUUGAUGUCUCUGACCGCAAGCGGAAUAGCCCUAUCUCUUCUCGUUUUACUUUUAUGUCGAUUAGGAAAAUAAUUUUACACAAACAAACAAUUUAUACCCAAACAAUUAAUGUGACAAAUAUUGUGAAAAUGCUUAUGAAAUACGCAACUCCCUGUGGACACGAUCCUAUAUAUACUUACGUGUAAAUAGUUUUAUGAGAGGUAAAAAUCCUUCAUCAGUAAACUCGUCACAAAAUCCAUAGAAAUGCUAUCCCACUUCCACUCCGGCACAUCCAACGGUGUCAACAACCCUGCAGGCUUCUGAUGUUCAACCUUAGACUUCAGACAAGUCAAACAUGCAUACACAAAUUGAGCGACAUCACGCUUCAAACCGGACCAACCAAAACAGCUUCUUUAAAUCAUGAUACAUUUUCGUAGCUUCCCGGAUGAAUACUUAAGCUACUCUUGUGACUUUCCUCUAAAAUUAACCUUUUGAAAUCAUCAUUAUCAGGAAUACAAAUUCUUCCUCUGAACCUCAACACACCCUGAUCAUCCACCUUAAACUCACUAUCCUCAGUGCCAUUACCAGCAACCAUUAAAUCAACAAACUUCACAUCUACUAGUUGUGCUUCUCGGAUACUAUUCAAGAAAUCACUGUUAAUCUUCAGCAUCCCCAACUGUACACUCUAAGGUGUCAACUCACAGACAAGACUCAAGUCUCUAAACUGCUCUAGCAAAUCAAAUUCUUUCACCAUCGUAGCAGACAUGUGCAACGUCUUCCUACUCAACGCAUCUGCAACCACAUUAGCUUUACCUGGAUGAUAAUUCAAGCCAAAAUCAUAAUCUUUCAACAGCUCUAACCAUCUUCUCUGCCUCAUGUUCAAUUCUUUCUGAUCAAAUAAAUAUUUUAGACUUUUAUGAUCACUAAAUACUUCAAAUCUGGAACCGUACAAAUAAUGCCUCCAAAUUUUCAAAACAAAAACCACCGCAGCCAACUCCAAAUCAUGUGUAGGAUAAUUCUUUUCAUGAACUCUCAACUGCCUAGAAGCAUAAGCUACCACCUUACCAUCUUGCAUCAAAACACCACCUAAGCCCAACUUAGACGCAUCACAAUAAACAACAAAAGGUGCUUCCGGCUUCGGUAAAAUCAAAAUAGGAGCAGUUGUCAACCUUUGCUUCAACUCAUUGAAACUACUCUCACAAUGAGCAUCCCACACAAAAGACUUACCCUUACAGGUCAACUGAGUCAACGGAAGUGCUAACUUCGAAAAUACCUCAAUGAACCUGCGGUAAUAACCAGCCAAACCCAAGAAGCUUCUGAUUUCAGUCACUGACUUCGGAGUCUCCCAUUGUGAUACUACAUCAAAUUUCGAUGGGUCAACUACAAUACCACUACCAGAAAUAAUGUGGCCAAGAAAACUCACUUCAAUUAACCAGAACUCACACUUCGACAACUUAGCAUACAACUUCUUUUCUUUCAAUAUUUGCAACACAAUCUUCAGAUGCUCUGCAUGCUCUUCUUCAGUCUUAUAAUAAAUUAGAAUGUCAUCAAUAGACACAACCACGAAUUUAUUCAGGUAGGCAUGGAAAAUUCGGUUCAUAUACUCCAUGAACACACCAGGUGCAUUAGUAACACCGAAAGACAUCACCUUAUAUUCAUAUAUAUAGUGACCAUAACGUGUCCUAAAGGCCGUCUUCUGCAUAUCCUCAUCCUUCACCUUAAUUUGAUGGUAACCUGACCUCAAGUCAAUCUUACUAAACACACGUGCACCCACUAACUGAUCCAUUAAGUCAUCAAUCCUCGGAAGUGGAUACCUGUUCUUUAUCGUAACUUUGUUCAACUGACGAUAAUCAAUGCAUAACCUCAUGGUACCAUCCUUCUUCUUAACCAACAAUACUGGCGCUCCCCACGGUGAAACACUUGGUAUUACAAAUUUAUUAUCAAGCAAGUUCUCCAACUGUUUCUUCAAUUCAGCAAGUUCGGACGCCGGCAUACGAUAAGGUGCCAUCGACACCGGCUUCGUUCCUGGAACAAGGUCAAUUGAAAAUUCAACCUCCCUCUCUGGUGGCACAUCUGGAAUCUCAUCAGGAAAAACCUCAGGAAACUCAUUCACAACUGGCAACAUAUCAAUCACAGCUUGAUUCUCUAACGACAAAUAUGCCAUCAAAGAAAACAUAAGAAUUCCAUCACACUCCAACUGCUUCAACUGCUUAGUAGAUAGGAACUCCACUCCACUCUCUUCUUCCGCAGAAGAAAAAUGUAACGUCUUACUAAAGCAAUUGAUAUGGACAUGGUUAUACUCCAACCAGUUCAUACCAAGUACACAACAAACAACAACUCAGAACAACAAAAGACAACUUAAAGUUGACACUCUAUCCUAUGUGGCUCAACACGACUCUACUACUUGGCCGGACGGACCAACCUGCUCUGAUACCAAUUGUAAAACCCCGUUAUCCCAAAACAAUUAAAUAACAAUAAUACAUCAGAGUCUAAUACCAAACGGGCAUGUCACCCUGCUUUUCAAAUUUUCUUAAAUAGAAUAUAAAACUAUUUAAUAAACAUCCUUCAAAAAUAUCAUUAAUUUGCAGCGGAAUAUUUGCAUCAAAAGCAACAACAACAACUGUUUAAUUCUCCAUAAAAUAAUCUAGGCAUAAAAGCCUCAUCAAAAUAAAUCCAACAAAAUCAAGCCGAGGGCUACAUCAGCAAAUUCCAACAAUUGAUACAUAAGGAAUGAAAAACAAAUAAGAAAUUCCCAUCCCGUACGUAUCAGAGCCCUAGACACUUGAGCCACCACCUACUACUCAGGAUCACCUGCAAGUUACCCAUAGGAAGGCCAACAUUUUCAAGCAGAAGGGGUGAGAUUCACUGUAACGCCCUAGUCGUUAUUUUAUUUAUUUCUGAUUUAUUUAAAGUCUUUCAUAUGAUUUUAAAUGAUUUAUGUUGAUUUUGUGGUGUGGUGUAUUUUAUUAAAUGGCUAUUUUCAUUAUUUAAUAGAAUAAGUGAGAAUUAGGAUUUAAUUGAAGUUUUGAGGUUAAAUGAGAAUUAAUAGAAUUAAGGGGAGUUAAAAGAAAUAAGUGGGAGGUUAUAUUUUACUGAGUUAUUAGAAAAUAGAACCAAGAGUCAGAGAAACAAUUUUCACGUAGAAACAAGAGCUUUUGGGAGAAAAGGGAGAAGAGCCAAGAGAGAAAGAUGCUCGAUUUUGUAGAGCUUUGAUUCAUAAAUUAANNNNNNNNNNNNNNNNNNNNNNNNNNNNNNNNNNNNNNNNNNNNNNNNNNNNNNNNNNNNNNNNNNNNNNNNNNNNNNNNNNNNNNNNNNNNNNNNNNNNUUUUGCAAAAUAACUACUUCCACCUCACUUUUUUCCAAAUCUCAUGCCCUUGAGGCCUCUCACCUCCAUUCUUCAAAAUUCCUCUUUUCUUUUCAAACUUAAAAUCAACCAACAAAAACAAAAACAAUUUUCGAGAACGAACUACGUUUGGUUUUGAUCCCUUAAAAGGGUACGUAGGCAAUGAGUUAAAACUCCUCCAAGCCAAGUAAAAUAAAAUCCCAAUCAUCUUCUCUUCCCCCAUUCUUCACUCAAAUGAAAUUUCUCUUUUAAAUAAGUAGGCAAUAAAAAUAAAGCGUAGAAAUAAACUUAGGAGAACGGUUCUUAUGGAAUACCAUAAUCGUUCCGGGUGCCUAACACCUUCCCGUAGCGAAAGCGACCCCCGAACUUAGAAUCUAAGGGUUUUUUCUCAAUUUCGCCCUUCCCAAGAAAAAAUAGAGAAUAUCAAAGAUUGAAAGGUUCAAGCCUAAAUUAUGACUUGACACCCGAAAAUCGCGAUAACAGAAAUGGCGACUUCACUGGGGACACUUUUAGCGGGUCACGCCUAGUUUUCCUUAGUUUAUAUUUAUACUUUGUUUUAUUGCUUACAUAUGUGAACACUUGUUUAUUUUCAUUUGACGUGUGGGGUGAGAAUAUCAAAAGUCCUAUACCCGGGCUGAGUGAACUUAUGAUUAGGUAGAGAUAUAAUCGACAAUUCGAUCCGAGGGUUGCCUCGUGUAUUGGGUUAUGCGAUCAAUCUCACAUAGCUGAGGCAUUUUGGAAGUAAUAUUGUCGGCGUGUGUUGUCAUGCUUAGGCACUUUGCUUUCAAUUGUUCGACGAUGCUAUGGACCGUAGUUACCAAACCCAUCCUUGGCCUUUUUAGGACGUAGUGCGGUGGCUAAACCGAGUGUUGUCUCAAGUUUUAGUCGUCACGCGAUACUACACUCAAACUAGACCUUCUUGCGAAUAAACAUGGAACGGACGUUGUCCCGUGCUACCAUGAUAUACGUAAGAGAGGUUGCAGUUUGGGAACUUCAUUAGAACCUUGGUUACUAUUAUCCUAAGCCCUAGUUUAUCGGACACCGUGUCCACCCGUGGCCCCUCGAUUUUGAAUCUCAACCCUCCAUGUUUUCUCUGUAAUUGAAAAACAAUCAUGCAUACAUGCAUUGAUGCAUUAAAUUUUUCUCAUGCAUUCAUCGAAGGACUAGACAAAUAAAAAACUUUGUAAACAUUACAGGUAUGAAGAAGACUAAAUCCUACAAGUUCAAGGAGGUUGACUUGGUUAGUUUGAGAGAAUUGGCAAUCAAGGUUAAGAAUCAAACAGGUUUCCGACUCCGAUAUGGUGGUUUGCUUACUAUUCUCCGGACCAAUGUUGAAGAGAAGCUAGUGCACACUCUAGUGCAAUUCUAUGACCCGAGCUUCCGUUUGCUUCACUUUCCCGGAUUUCCAGUUAGUCCCUACUCUUGAGGCUUAUUCCUACUUGUUAGAUUCACCUAUAGCUGAGAAGACGCCUUUCACCGGUCCCGGGACUUCUCUUACCCAUUUGGUUAUUGCUAAAGACCUCUAUCUCAAGACUUCCGAUGUUUCCAAUCAUCUUACUACCAAGUCUCACAUCCGAGGGUUCACUUCAAAGUAUCUACUUGAGCGGGCUAAUCUCAAAACCACUUGUCAAGACACACUCGAGGCUAUUCUUGCAUUACUUAUCUAUGGGCUCAUUCUCUUUCUGAAUCUCGACAACUUUGUGGAUAUGAAUGCUAUUGAGAUCUUCCAUUCCAAGAAUUCGGUUCCUACCUUGCUAGCUGACACAUACCAUGCUAUCCAUGAUCGAACUCUCAAAGGUCGUGGGUACAUCUUUUGCUGCGUACCUCUCCAAUAUAGGUGGUUUAUUUCUCACCUUCCGAGUUCUUUCCAUGACAACUCGGAGAAUUGGUCUUACUCACAGCGGAUUAUGGCCCUCACUCCUAAUGAGGUGGUUUGGCUCACUCCCGCCGCUCAGGUUAAGGAAAUUAUUACCGGUUGUGGGGAUUUUCUCAAUGUACCUCUUCUUGGUACCCGUGGAGGAAUCAACUACAAUCCUGAACUUGCCAUGAGACAGUUUGGGUUCCCAAUGAAGGCAAAACCCAUCAAUCUUGCUACAUCUACGGAAUUCUUCUACUAUUCGAAUGCCCCCACCGGACAAAGGGAGGCUUUCAUAGACGCUUGGUCCAAAGUCCGUAGGAAGAGUGUGAAACAUUUGGGUGUGAGAUCCGGUAUUGCUCAUGAGGCCUAUACUCAGUGGGUAAUAGAUCGAGCCGAGGAGAUUGGUAUGCCUUACCCUGCUAUGAGACAUGUGUCUGCAUCUGCUCCAUCUAUACCUUUACUUCUACCUCCCACAACUCAGGAGAUGUAUCAGGAGCAUCUAGCCAUGGAGAGUCGUGAGAAGCAGAUGUGGAAAGCCCGAUACAAUGAAGCUGAGAAUCUAAUCAUGACUUUGGAUGGCAAGGAUGAGCAGAAGACUCAUGAAAACCUGAUGUUGAGAAAGGAGUUGGCUAAGGUCCGAAGGGAACUUGAAGAAAAAGAUGAGUUGCUUAUGCGGGACUCCAAGAGAGCUAGAGGACGACGUGACUUCUAUGCUAGAUACUGCGGUUCAGAUUCAAAGUCCGAGUCUGAGGAUCAUCCCACCACUUCUUAUGCUUGAGAGUUUUAUUUGCCUGUAUUGUUAAAAUUUCAAAGUCUUCCCUUGGCUUAGUACUUCAAAGGGAUUUACCUUAGAAAGAUUCCGUUUAGUUUUGUUUGUUUACAAAGUUCAUAAUUUGUCUAAAAACCCCUCGAUGACAAAAAAAGCUUUUUUUUGCAUCUGCAUUUGUACAUAUCAUGCAUCAUACGCAUCAUUCAUCAGUCACCAAAAGGUUUCCAAGUGCUCACUGCCUCCUGGUUCUUCUGCCACAGUUUGAAUGGUGGCUCGUGCUCGGAAAGUCUACGAACCUGACAGAAUACAUCGGACUAGAUUAUACAGAAAGAAGAAUUUGGUAGUUAUGGAAGAAGAAAAUAGCUCAGCUCUGUACCGAGUUAGCUUCUUUGAGGGAAGAAUUGGCUAAAGCCAAUGAUACCAUGACUGCUCUGCUAGCCGCCCAGGAACAAUCAGCUACAGCUAUCCCUGUAGCCACAGCUAUCCCUAUAGCUACAAGUGUGAUCCCAACUACAUCUACUGAUGCUCGCUUCGUUAUGCCAACUGGGUUUCCUUAUGGACUUCCACCGUUUUUCACUCCUAGUACUGCAGCAGGCACUUCUGGUACUGCUAACAAUGGCCCGAUUCCUGGGACGAACACUGUCUCCAUCAAUACUACCUUGCCUCAGACAACAGCAACUGUCACUGAGCCUCUUGUGCAUGCCAUAUCUCAAGGUGUUAACAUCAACGCGCAUCACGGAAGCAUCCCCGUGAUUAAAACCAUGGAAGAAAGGAUGGAGGAACUUGCUAAAGAACUCCGUCAUGAAAUCAAAGCUAACCGAGGGAACGGGGACUCUGUUAAGACUCAUGAUCUCUGCUUGGUACCAAAGGUGGACGUCCCCAAGAAGUUCAAAGUCCCAGAGUUCGACCGAUACAAUGGGCUGACUUGUCCCCAGAACCACAUUAUCAAGUAUGUCCGAAAGAUGGGUAACUACAAAGACAAUGAUUCGCUCAUGAUUCACUGCUUCCAAGAUAGCUUAAUGGAAGACGCUGCAGAAUGGUAUACUAGCUUGAGCAAAGAUGACGUUCAUACCUUUGAUGAAUUAGCCGCUGCUUUCAAAAGCCACUAUGGGUUUAAUACCAGGUUGAAACCAAACAGGGAAUUCCUCAGAUCCCUUUCCCAAAAGAAAGAUGAAAGCUUCCGCGAGUAUGCACAGAGAUGGAGGGGGGGCAGCUGUCCGCAUCACUCCCGCUCUUGAUGAAGAAGAGAUGACUCAGACAUUCCUGAAGACUCUGAAAAAGGAUUAUGUCGAAAGAAUGAUCAUUGCUGCUCCAAAUAACUUCUCUGAGAUGGUCACCAUGGGGACUCGCCUAGAAGAAGCUGUCAGAGAAGGCAUUAUUGUGUUCGAGAAAGUUGAAUCCUCCGCAAAUGCAUCAAAGAGGUACGGUAACGGUCAUCAUAAGAAGAAAGAAACAGAAGUAGGGAUGGUAUCUGCCGGAGCCGGUCAAUCCAUGGCUACUGUUGCCCCUAUUAAUGCUGCCCAGUUACCUCCGUCGUACCCAUAUGCGCCAUACUCUCAGCAUCCCUUCUUUCCAUCAUUCUAUCAUCAGUAUCCUUUGCCAUCGGGUCAACCUCAGGUACCCGUUAAUGCCGUCGUUCAGCAAAUGCAACAACAGCAGCAACAAGCUAGACCUACCUUUCCCCCGAUACCAAUGUUGUAUGCUGAGUUACUCCCGACUCUACUUCUCAGAGGGCACUGCACAACCAGACAGGGCAAGCCUCCACCUGAUCCGUUGCCUCCCAGGUUCCGUUCUGACCUCAAGUGUGAUUUCCAUCAAGGUGCUCUGGGUCAUGAUGUCGAAGGAUGCUACGCUUUGAAGUACAUUGUGAAGAAGCUCAUUGAUCAAGGAAAUUAACUUUUGAGAACAAUGUCCCUCAUGUCCUCGACAAUCCUCUUCCGAAUCACGCUGCUGUAAACAUGAUUGAGGUAUAUGAAGAAGCUCCCAGACUCGAUGUUCGUAACUGUAACGCCCUCUCUAAUUAUUUGAAUAUUUUUAAUGAGUUUAGAAUACACUUAUAUGAUUUGUAUAAUUUAUAGGAUUUAUUUUGAUGAGUGAUAUUUUGUUAUGAUAUAUGUUGGUAUUUAUUAGUAUAACAUAUAUGUUAUUUGGUUUAGAAAUAUAAAUGUUAUUUGAUUUAAAAAUAUAAAUGUUAUUUGAUUUAGAAAUAUAUAUGUUAUUUGAUUUAGAAAUAUAUAUAUGUUAUUUGGUUUAGAAAUAAAUGUUAUUUGUUGUAGAAAUACACAUGAUUUGUUAUAGAAAUAAAUGUUAUUUGGUGUAGAAAUACACAUGAUUUGUUGUAGAAAUAUAUGUUAAUUUGUGUAGAGAUAUAUGUUAUUUUGUGUAGAAAUAUAUGUUAUCUGGUGUAGAAAUAUAUUUCUUAUUUGGUGUAGAAAUAUAUAUAUGUUAUAGAAAUAUAUUUGUUAUAGAGAUAUAAUUGUUAUUUGUUGUAUAAAUAUUUUAUAUAUAUAUUAGAAUAGAAUAUUGAGAUUUUGGUAGGCAAUCUAAUAUAUUUUUGUACUGAAUAAUAUAUUUUGUACUUAAUAUAAUAUAUUUUGGUACUCAAUUGAUAUAUUUAAUUACUAGAUCUAAUAGGUGCAUUACUUGUUUCCAAAGUUUCUCACUUAUUAGUUGUAAAUUAUCUCUAUAAAUAGAGAACUCACACAGUGCAUUCUACACACCGAAAUUCACAGUUGAUACUUCCUGUGCUUUUCUUCUCUUCUCCCUCUUUUGACUUGUGUUGACGAGUCUUUCUUCUUUUUCUACUCCUUUCUGUCCCUUCGGAAUUAAAAGUGUUCUUAAGACUAUAAUCUCUCUUCGGUUUAAUAUCCUUUUAGAUAAGAGAAAGCAGUAGAGUCCUUCGUCGAUCAAUCCAAAGGUAAGGGUGAGACUAACUUUGCAAUUUUAUUAAGUAUGUGAAUCAAUGGUUAGGUUUAACAUGAUGUAGGAUGAGUUUUUGAGGAAUUGAAAAGUAGGUUAAAAUUGUAGAAUUAAUGAAUAAACGGUGGAAACUUGUUAAAAAGAUGUAGAAACUGUCCUUAGACCUUAGAUAAUGAUUAAGAUGAUUUGAUGAUAUUUAUAAUGUUAUAUAAUUAGAUAUAUAUUGCAUGAAUUAUGUUUAAUGAUUGAGAUGUAGAUGACGUGCAUUUGUAAUUGUUAUAUAUGAUGAUUAUCAUUAUCGAUUGAUGCUUUUUUGUUGUUAUGAUGAAUAUGAUUUACUUUGAUGAUAUGAUUAAUGAGAGAAUAUUAUAUACUAUGAAUUAAUGAUUAAAUGCANNNNNNNNNNNNNNNNNNNNNNNNNNNNNNNNNNNNNNNNNNNNNNNNNNNNNNNNNNNNNNNNNNNNNNNNNNNNNNNNNNNNNNNNNNNNNNNNNNNNAAAAUACAACAAGUUGUUAACCAAUGCCUAAACAUCGUGAGUAACCAAAUAAGCUGAAAGAAAAGAUCUCCUUGAUUUCAAACCACCUGUGUAAAAUGCAAAAUGAGCCCCAUGAUUUGAUAUAUCACAAUGAUCGACACCAUCAAAGCCUAUCCAAGACCUCACCAAAAACCAUAAAGAACCAAAGAAACUACAAGACAAAAAUAAAUGUCGUGCAUCUUCCACAAAACCAGAACUUGUCACACAUAAGCAUGCCUUUGAAUUCAAGAUACCACGAAAUGCUAAAUUAGACAUUGUAGGAAGUCUAUCUCGAAUCAACCUCCAAGCAAAAAUAGACACCUUGAGGGGAACAUGUUUGUGCCAAACCAAUUCUUCGCAAAGACCAUCCUGCUGCACUUCCUGAUUAAUAAGCAUAGCAUAUACCCCGCUGACUGUGUAACCUUGGCUAGGGUCCGGUUGCCACUGCCACACAUCAUAGGAAAGAGGCUACAAAGAAACAUUAGCAAGUAAUAACCUACACUCUGCUAGGAGCUCCUCCUCCCACACCCACAAUCUCCUACGCCACUGCCAUCCCCCUCCCUCCCUCCCCCCAUCCUAAAGAAAACAUCUCUUUAACAGUAAUGGAUUUAUUUAAAGCUAAAUCAAAUAACCUUCUAAAACGAAUCCGGAAAGGGACACCACCACACCACCUCUCAUGCCAAAACAAGGUAUCCUCCCCAUCACCCACACACCUAACCACACAACCCUCAAACCAACUAACACCACCCCCACCCUCCCCUUCUCUAAUCCUACUAACCUCUUACUUAGAAUGUAAGAAAUGCUUGAAUUGGUAAAACUAUAUGAGAUAAUUGAUGUGAAUGACAUUGUUGAUUAUUGAUGAUCAUGUUGUGAUAAUGAAUCUUAUGAUUUGAUUGUGUAUGGACAUGUUUUCUUGAUAAAGCAAAUGAUGUGGAGAUGAACAAUAUAAUUGGGUGUUGUCCUAUAUAUUGUGGUGAAAAUUGUGAAUUGAUGUCGCAUUAUCGAGUCUUGUUACAUGUCCAUGCAUCAUAGUCAUGUUGAGAUUUUAUAUGAUGUUUUUGUUGCAUCAUUGGGCUCUGGCCUAGCAGAGAUCAUUUAGUGGUCUAGUUUUGUGGACUUCGGUCUUGCAGAGAUCCAUUAGUGAUCUAGAUUGUGGGCUUUGUAACGCCCUCUUUAAUUAUUUGAUUAUUUUAAUGAGUUUAGAAUAUACUUAUAUGAUUUGUGUGAUUUAUAUGAUUUAUUUUGAUGACUGAUAUUUUGUUAUGUUAUAUGUUGGUAUUUAUUAGUAUAAUAUAUAUGCUAUUUGAUUUAGAAAUAUAUAUGUUAUUUUAUUUAGAAAUAUAUAUGCUAUUUGAUUUAGAAAUAUAUAUGUUAUUUGGUUUAGAAAUAUAUAUGCUAUUUGAUUUAGAAAUAUAUAUGUUUAUUUGGUUUAGAAAUAUAUGUUAUUUGUUGUAGAAAUAUAUAUAUAAUUUGUUUUAGAGAUAUAUUGUUAUUUGUUAUUUGUUAUAGAAAUAUAUUAGAAUAGAAUAUUAAGAUUUAGAUAUAGGAGAAAAAUAAGUAGGUUAAGGAUUUUUAUAAAUAGGAGAGACCUAGUUUAGAAAAAUAACAUAAUGUACGACUGUUUUUGGAGAAAAGGGAGAAAAAGCCAAGAGAAGAGGGAGAAGACCUAGAGGCUGCGAUUUUCAUUCUUUAAGGUAAGGGUGAGACUAGCAUACAAUUCUAUUAAUUAUGUAAUUCAAUUGGUUGUAAUUAACAAGUUGUAGGAUUGGAUUAGAGAAGUUGGAAAACUAGGGUUAAUGAGAGAGAAUUGAUGAUUAAAUGGUGAAAACUUGUUAAAAAGAUGUAGAAACUGUCCUUAGACCUUAGAUAAUGAUUAAGAUGAAUUAUGGAGUUGAGAUUAGGCUUUAAACCAUGAGAGUUGAUGAUUUUUAGGCAAAACUGCACUUCUGCCCGUAGCGACAUUCAUCGCUCGCCUCCCGAGCUAUGAUCCUCGCCACGGUGAGGGAUGAACUUCAUCGCUCGCCACGCGAGCAACCUUUCCUCGCCUCGCGAGUUGCACGUUGCAGCUCGCCAUAGCGAGCAGUUGAACUCGCCUCGCGAGCUUGACCAGAGAGCAUGCAAGAUUUCGUGAUUUUUGACUUUUGAGUUUAACCUUAGAUGCCCUUGAGUGCCUGAACAUGUCUAAUAUUGAUUAGGAAAGAAUUUAGGAUGAGAUUGAACCUAGAAAGACUUAGAAUGAAACUUUGGAUAAUCUGACUGAACUCGCCAUGGCGAGCAGAGGCUCUCGCCUCGCGAGCACUUGUGUUACAGAAUGUCAUGUUUAGGUUAAAUGCGAUCCUUGUAGUACGAGUUGUUAUGAGUUGAACCUUGGGAUAGUAAUGAGGAAUAUGUAUGAUAUUAAUGACGAUCUGUGAAGUUGUUAUACGAUGAUUUGAUGAUAUUUAUAAUGUUAUAUAAUUGGAUAUAUAUAUUGCAUGAAAUUAUGUUUGAUGAUUGAGAUGUUGAUGACGUGCAUUUGUAAUUGUUAUAUAUGAUGAUUAUUAUUAUCGAAUGAUGCGGUUUUGUUGUUGUGAUGAAUAUGAUUUACUUUGAUGAUUAUUGAGAGAAUAUUAUAUAUUGUGGAUGAUGAUGAUAUGAAGUUGUAAUGAUUGUAUUUGAUGAUUAUUGUUGAUGUUGACUUGCUGUAAAUUAUUUGAUGUUGUUGCCUUGCUGAUGUGAUGUAUUAAUAUCAUUAAGAUGCUAAUGUUGGUUUAAGUCAUAUGAGAUGUUUAAGUUGUAAGAAAUGUUUCAAAUUAUUGGAUGUAUAUGAGAUGAUGAUUAAGAUGUUUAGAUGAUAGAGUCCUUGCAUUAGCAUACAUUUGUUGGGGGCUCAUGCCCUGGAGCUUUGUCAUCACCACGAUUUGAGCUUUGUCCUCACCACGAUGCCCUAAAAGUAUAUUAAUACUAUGAUGUUUGGGGCUCAUGCCCUGAAUUGGUACCACAUGCAUAUAAGUAGGUUUUGGUUGCAUUGUUGCAUUUGUCGAGUCAAAGUCAUUGUUGAUGAAUUAUCAUCCAUGAGUUGUUAAGUUGUUAAUGAAUUAUCAUCUACGAGUUGCUGAGUUGUAUUCUACCCAUGUGUUGUUAAAGAAGUACCUAUGAAGAUUAUACGAUGUUCAUGACGUUGUCAAGUUGCUAUGACGAUUGCUAUGUUGUUUAUGAUAUUGAUUGUGAUGUUGUUAUGUGAUGUUGUUAUAUGAUGUUGUUGUUAUAUUAUUACAUGAUGAUGAAUAUGUUGUUGUUAUAUUAUUAUAUGAUGAUGAAUAUGUUGUUGUUAUAUUACUAUAAGAUGAUGUUUAUGUUGUGAUGUACAUAAUUAUUAUUAUUAAGUGAUGAUUAUAUUGUGUUGUUUAAGUUAUUAGUGAUGAUGAAUACAUGAUGUUAUCUAUGAGUUGUUAAAUGUACUUGAUGAUGGUUAUGUUAAGUUGAUAAGUUGUCUUUUAUUCAUGAAUUGAUAAUGUGAUGUUUGAUGAAUAAUUAUUAUUAUGAAUUGAUGAUGUUACGUAUAGUUGUUAAGUUGUCUCCUAUUCAUGAGUUGCUAAUGAGAUGCUUGGUGGAGAAAUGUUAUUACGAAUUAAUGAUGUUGUUAUGUUGUAUAUGAAUUAGGAUUAAGAUGUUGUUAUGUUGUAUAUGAAUUAUGAUUAAGAUGUUGUUAUGUUGUAUGUGAACUAUGAUUAUGAUGUGAUGAUCUAUGUUGGUUAUGAUUUGGUUAUUAUGUGUUAUAUGAUGAUGUUUAUAAUGUGAUGAAUAUGAAGUAAAUGAUAAUUAGAAAUUGGUUGAACUAUUAAGAAUUAUUACAUGAAGAAUUAUUAUUACUAAUAGAUGAAGUUAUUUAUGUUGUUAAAUAUAAUUAUUGAAUUAUAUGCUUGAUAUUAUUGUUUUGUGAAAUCUCACCCCUUCUGCUUGGAAAUGUUGCUCUUCGUAUGAGUAACUUGCAUGUAAUCAAGUUUAGCUGUGAAGUGAGUCGAUUCUCUCACGUGUGUCUUUAGGUGCUCUGAUACGUAACGGGAUGGGAACUUUGUUAUUGCUUUUCUAUUCCUUACGUAUUGUUUUUGAAGAUGUAUGACUAUGUUUUUAGAUUGGAUUUUUAUGAGACAUUUAUGAAGAGGCCUUCGUGCCAAAGACUGUUUUAGUUAUUGAAUAAAUUUCGCUGCGAAGUAUUAAAGAUUUUGUUAUUGAAUUUUAAAGGAUAAAUAGUUAUUUAUUCAGUUUAUGACUUUAAGAAAAGAAAUGUGACAUUCCGUUUAUGUGAAUACUCUGAUUAUUUUUAUGAAAUUUUUAAUGCUGGGAAAACGGGGUGUUACAGGCUUCGGCCUUGCAGAGACCUUUGAUGGUCUAGAUAUAGGUGACGACCUUGAGGUGAAUGGUACCACAUGCAUAUAUGUGUCGGGCUAGGUAUACAUCAUGCAUGAGUCUUAUUGGUGAAAUGUGAAUGAUGAUUGUGUAUGAAUAAAUGUGAUUUGAUGAUUAUUCAUGAUACACGUGACUGGCGAUUAAUUGAGGAGAAGUGUUUGAAUUAUGGUAUGAAUACAUAUGUUGAUAUUAUUGUGAUUAAGUAUAUGUAGUUUUUGUAACACCCCCGUUUUCCGUAACUUAAAAAUUUUCAUAAACAUUUAUCAGAGUAACAACAGAUAACAGGAUAUCACACUUAAAAAUCAUAAAACAGAUAAUUAACUAAUUAUCCUUCAACAUAAAUCAUCAACGUAAUAGCAGCGGAAUUAAUUCAACAUCAUGAAAAGUCUUGGCACGUGUUAUACCCUGAUUUUGGACCUAAAAAUACUCGUUCAAACUUCUUUUAACACUGAUAUUUGUUCAAUUCGCUGUUGUUUUUUCUUCUGAAUCUUUACUCUCUUUUUAAACGAAUUUUACUGCCUCUGUCUUUUCUGACAUUCCAAGUCAUUUAAGAACUCUCUGAAACGUCGCGUUACUUUUUCUUGCAUGUUAUUUCAAAAAUCAUACAAAAGGGUAUUUUGGUCAUUUCCUGUAGUGGAACCCCAUUUUAGUCCCUGUGUUUGCCUCUGAGUCUUUUCAAUUUGUCUGUACGAAUCAUUGUUGAGUCUUUGUUUAAAAAUUAUUUCAAAAAUUGCAUCUGAGUCAGUUUGGGUCAGUUUAGUCCCUAGGAGCAUUUUGGUCUUUUCAUGUCAAAAUUUCGGCAAGGAGGUAUUUUAAAAUACCUCAUGUCAGUAAUUGGUUCAUUUUAGUCCUUUUGUUGAUUUUAUUUUUGGUUUCACUUUACGUUUUUUUCAAAUUGCCAAUUUUAGUCCAAUUUUACUUUUAAUUUCAUUUUAGUCCCUGAACAGUUUCUAAAUUGCAUUUUAGUCCAAAAUUCUUAAAAUUACUCUUUCAGUCCAUUUUUUAUUAUUGCAGUUUAGUCCUUCUAAUUUUUUCUUUUUUGCAGAAAGGUCCCUAAGUCAAAAUUUCAGUCCAAGGCUGUGCCAUUUUCAUACAAGUCCAGAUGUCACCACCUCAUUGGUCCAAGAUCACACAUGGCAGCCUAUAAAAGGUGCACAGUGCCACACAGAGCCAUUAAUCACACGCCACAUCAUAAACACUUCCCAACUUUCUCUUUCUACUCUCAAAGAUCAAAACUCAACAGUUUCCAGAAAUAACGAAGAACACCAAGAACAUUCAAACCCUAACCGUUUCAAAAUUCUAUCAAGAUCAUCGCAAAUCAACACAGAUUCAACCGGAUUCAUCACGGUUCUCAGUGAUUCACCAAAGAAUCAUCAUCAUCGAACCAGAUCCUCUGCAAUUCAAGGUGCGAGUUCGCCAUUAGCAAGCUCAAGCACCGAUCACAGAGGUCAGUGAGAAGAAGAAGGAAAGAAGACGAAGGAAUCCGAACCAGUGAGAAGAGGAGCAUCACCGAUUUAUUUUCGGUUUCAAAGCCAGAAAUCAAACAGGCAAAAGUCAAAUCCAAGUGUUUCCGAAGAAACUCAACAGAAUCUCCAUUAAAACUCAGGUAAAACUCAUUUUUUCUCUUUAAUGGCGUUAAUCAUAGUUGAACCUGCAUGCAAACGAACAAACCAGAUCUAAAAAGUUUCCAGAACAGAAAACGAACUGAACCGUAUGCGCAAGAUCUAGAUCCAUAAGGACCUAGGCUUUGCAAGCAAGAACAAGCACCAGAGAAGUAACAAACACGAAACGAUGUAGAUCCUUAAGAGUUUGAACGUACUCAUUCAAAAACCCUAAAAAAAAAAAAAAUAAACAAACCGUAAUGAAAUUACUNNNNNNNNNNNNNNNNNNNNNNNNNNNNNNNNNNNNNNNNNNNNNNNNNNNNNNNNNNNNNNNNNNNNNNNNNNNNNNNNNNNNNNNNNNNNNNNNNNNNCGUGAGAAACAAAUGUGGAAAGCCCGAUACAAUGAGGCUGAGAAUCUAAUCAUGACUUUGGAUGGUAAGGAUGAGCAGAAGACUCAUGAGAACUUGAUGUUGAAGAAGGAAUUGGUUAAGGUCCGAAGGGAACUUGAAGAAAAGGAUGAGCUACUUAUGCGGGACUCCAAGAGAGCUAGAGGACGACGCAACUUCUAUGCUAGAUAUUGCGGUUCGGAUUCGGAGUCUGAGUCUGAGGAUCAUCCCACCACUUCCUAUGCUUGAGAGUUUUAUUUGUUUAUAUUUCAAAAGUCUUCCCUUGGCUUAGUAUUUCAAAGGGAUUCAUCUUGUAAACGCUUCGUUUUGUCUUUGUUUGUUUAGAUAUUGUUUACAAAACUUCUAAUUUGUCUAAAAAUCCUUCGAUGUCCAAAAACAACUUUUGCAUUUGCAUUUGUACAUAUCAUGCAUCAUUCAUCAAGCCACAAAAAGUUUACAAGUGCUCACUGCCUCCUGGUUCUUCUGCCACAGAGUUUGAAAGGUGGCUCGUGCUCGGAAAGUUUACGAACCAGACAGAAUACACCGGACAAGACUCUACAGAAAGAAGAAUUCGGCAGCCAUGGAAGAAGAGAACGCUCAGCUCCGUACCGAGUUAGCCACUCUAAGGGAAGAAUUGGCUAAAGCUAACGAUGUCAUGACUGCUCUGCUAGCCGCUCAAGAACAAUCAGCCGCGGCUAUCCCUAUAGCCACAGCUAUACCGGUGACUACAAGCAUGCUCCCAACCGCAUCUGCAGACGCUCGCUUUGCUAUGCCAGCUGGGUUUCCGUAUGGGCUUCCACCGUUCUUCACUCCCAGUACUGCAGCGGGCACUUCGGGCACUGCUAACAAUGUUCUGAUCCCUGCAACAAAUGCUGCCUCCAUCAAUGCUACUUUGCCACAAACAACGGCAGCUGUCACCGAGCCUCUUGUGCAUACCAUGCCCCAAGGUGUUAACAUCAACACACAGCACGGAAGCAUCCCCGUAACCAAAACCAUGGAAGAGAUGAUGGAGGAACUUGCUAAAGAACUCCGUCAUGAGAUCAAAGCCAAUCGAGGGAAUGCGGACUCUUUCUAAACUCAAGAUCUCUGCUUGGUGUCAAAGGUGGAUGUCCCUAAGAAGUUCAAAAUCCCGGACUUCGACCGAUACAACGGGCUAACUUGUCCCCAGAACCACAUCAUCAAGUACGUCCGAAAGAUGGGCAAUUACAAAGACAAUGAUUCCCUUAUGAUCCACUGCUUUCAGGAUAGUUUGAUGGAAGAUGCUGCAGAGUGGUAUACUAGUUUGAGCAAAAAUGACAUCCAUACCUUUGAUGAAUUAGCCGCUGCUUUCAAGAGCCACUAUGGGUUUAACACCCGAUUGAAGCCGAACAGGAAAUUCCUCAGAUCUCUCUCCCAGAAGAAGGAGGAAAGCUUCCGUGAAUACGCACAGAGAUGGAGGGGGGCAGCUGCUCGCAUUACUCCCGCUCUUGAUGAAGAAGAAAUGACCCAGACAUUCUUAAAGACCUUGAAGAAGGAUUAUGUUGAGAGAAUGAUCAUUGCUGCCCCGAAUAACUUUUCGGAGAUGGUCACCAUGGGAACUCGUCUGGAAGAAGCCGUCAGGGAUGGAAUCAUUGUGUUCGAGAAAGCCGAAUCCUCUGUGAAUGCAUCGAGGAGGUAUGGUAAUGGACACCACAAGAAGAAAGAAACGGAAAUAGGGAUGGUGUCAGCUGGAGCCGGUCAAUCCAUGGCUACUGUUGCUCCUAUCAAUGCAGCCCAAAUGCCUCCGUCAUACCCAUAUGCGCCGUAUUCUCAGCAUCCCUUCUUUCCGCCAUUUUAUCAUCAGUACCCUCUGCCACCGGGUCAACCUCAAGUACCCGUUAAUGCAAUCGCUCAACAGAUGAAACAACAGUUGCCAGUUCAACAACAACAACAAAAUCAGCAAGCUAGACCUACUUUCCUCCUAUACCAAUGUUGUAUGCAGAACUUCUUCCAACCUUACUCCAGAGAGGUCAUUGUACAACUAGACAGGGCAAGCCACCACCUGAUCCGUUGCCUCCAAGGUUCAGGUCUGAUCUUAAAUGUGACUUUCAUCAAGGUGCCUUAGGUCAUGAUGUCGAGGGGUGUUAUGCUUUGAAGUAUAUCGUGAAGAAGCUCAUUGAUCAGGGAAAGCUGACUUUUGAGAAUAAUGUCCCACACGUCCUCGACAAUCCUCUUCCAAAUCAUGCCGCUGUAAAUAUGAUCGAAGUAUGUGAGGAAGCUCCUAGACUUGAUGUCCGUAACGUCGUAACUCCUCUGGUGCCUCUACACAUCAAGCUGUGCAAAGCUUCUCUGUUUAGCCAUGAUCAUGCCAAGUGCCUAGGAUGCCUUCGUAAUCCUUUGGGUUGCUAUACUGUUCAAGAAGACAUCCAAAGCUUGAUGAAUGAUAAUUUUUUUGACUGUCAGUGAUGUCUGCGUGAUUGUGCCAGUUUUUCACGAUCCGCCUGUCAAGAGUAUACCUUUGAAGGAGAAUGCUGAGCCACUGGUGAUAAGGUUGCCCGGACCGGUACCGUAUACUUCAGAUAGGGCUAUCCCGUACAAAUAUAAUGCUACCAUAAUUGAAAACGGAGUAGAAGUGCCUCUGGUGUCUUUGGCUGUGAUGAACAAUACCGCCGAAGGAACUUCAGCAGCCCUUAGAAGCGGAAGAGUCCGUCCACCGUUGUUUCAAAAGAAGGCAGCUACGCCUACCGUGCCACCCAUUGACAAGCCAACCCCGACUGAUGUUUCUCCCGUUAACAGAGACGCGAGCCAACCAAGCCGGUCUAUAGAGGAUUCUAAUCUGGACGAGAUUUUGAGGUUGAUCAAAAGAAGUGAUUAUAAGAUUGUGGAUCAGCUGCUGCAAACUCCGUCGAAGAUAUCCAUUUUGUCUCUACUCCUGAGUUCCGCUGCCCACAGAGAUACCCUUUAGAAAGUAUUGGAGCAAGCUUAUGUGGAUCAUGAAGUAACUGUGGAUCAGUUUGGUAGCAUAGUGGGGAACAUUACCGCCUGCAGCAACCUGUGGUUCAGUGAAGAUGAAUUGCCCGAAGCAGGAAAGCAUCAUAAUCUGGCCUUGCAUAUCUCCGUGAAUUGCAAGUCCGAUAUGCUAUCAAAUGUGUUAGUAGACACUGGCUCGUCCUUGAACGUGAUGCCCAAGUCAACGCUGGAUCAGCUGAGUUACCGGGGAACUCCUUUGAGGAGGAGCACUUUUCUGGUCAAAGCUUUUGAUGGAACCCGCAAGAGCGUUCUCGGGGAGAUAGACUUGCCAAUAACUAUCGGCCCCGAAACCUUUCUAAUCACCUUUCAGGUCAUGGACAUUAAUGCCUCUUACAGCUGUCUCUUGGGGAGACCAUGGAUACACGACGCGGGAGCAGUGACCUCUACUUUGCACCAAAAGUUGAAAUUUGCAAAAAGUGGAAAGCUUGUUACCAUUCAUGGAGAGGAAGCAUACCUGGUUAGCCAGCUAUCAUCUUUCUCUUGCAUAGAGGCAGGGUCUGCAGAGGGGACCGCUUUUCAAGGAUUAACUGUCGAAGGUACGGAGCCUAAGAGGGAUGGAACUGCCAUGGCUUCUUUGAAGGAUGCACAGAGAGCCGUCCAAGAAGGUCAAGCUGCCGGCUGGGGCAAGUUAAUACAGCUUCGUGAGAGCAAGCAUAAGGAAGGUCUUGGCUUUUCCCCAACUUCAGGAGUUUCCACCGGGCAUUCUAUAGUGCUGGGUUUGUCAACGCAAUCACAGAAGAAGCAACUGGAUUUGGCCCGAGGCCUGUAUUUGUUAUACCAGGAGGCAUUGCGAGAGAUUGGGAUGCCAUUGACAUUCCCUCAAUCAUGCAUGUUUCUGAGUAAUAUACCUUGUUGCUUAAGUAUCUUGUUUUUUUUUCAAAAUAACAAUCCUCUCGCUCUGCCCAAAGCGAGAGUGAUAUUUUCUGUAAGGGCAUGUUUGUUUCGGCAUUGCCGUUGAUUAAUAAAAAUUUUGUCGUUUCUUCCACGACUGCUUCUUUUUUUUAGUGCCUUUUUUCCUUGGAAAUAAUGGUAAUGCCAGAAAAAAAACAAAAACAUCUGUAUUUUCUUAUUAAUUUCAAAAAUCUGCAUAAAAACCCUCUUUCUAAAAUCAUCCAACCAUUUUACGCAGAUUGAACUAUAAUAAACCCGUUGGGCACAGUAAUCCUGCAUUCUCUCCGAAUUUUGAGUUUCCAGUGUAUGAAGCCGAAGAUGAGGAAGGUGAUGACAUACCAUAUGAGAUCACUCGGCUACUUGGGCAAGAAAAGAAAGCCAUUCAGCCUCACCAGGAAGAGAUUGAACUUAUCAACAUAGGUACCGAGGAGAACAAGGCGAGAAAUCAAGGUCGGUGCUGCUCUAGAGGAAGGGGUUAAAAAGAAGAUCAUCCAGCUCCUCCGAGAAUACCCGGAUAUUUUUGCAUGGUCGUAUGAAGAUAUGCCAGGUCUAGAUCCUAAGAUUGUGGAACAUCGGAUCCCCACGAAGCCUGAAUGUUCUCCCGUCAGGCAGAAAUUGAGAAGGACUCAUCCAAAUAUGGCUCUCAAGAUUAAGAGCGAGGUUCAAAAACAGAUUGAUGCGGGUUUCCUCAUGACAGUUGAGUACCCUGAAUGGGUUGCCAAUAUUGUACCUGUGCCAAAGAAGGAUGGUAAAGUCUGAAUGUGUGUUGACUUCAGAGACCUGAACAAAGCUAGUCCAAAAGACAACUUCCAUUACCUCAUAUUGAUGUGCUUGUUGAUAAUACUGCUCAGUCUAAGGUGUUCUCCUUCAUGGAUGGUUUCUCCGGUUACAAUCAGAUCAAAAUGUCUCCUGAAGAUAGAGAAAAGACGUCUUUUAUCACUCCAUGGGGUACUUUCUACUACAAAGUGAUGUCGUUCGGCCUAAUAAAUGCUGGUGCUACCUACCAAAGAGGGAUGACUACUCUAUUUCAUGACAUGAUUCACAAAGAAGUCGAAGUAUAUGUGGAUGAUAUGAUUGUGAAGUCAAAAGAUGCGGAGCAACAUGUCGAAUACUUGACAAAAAAUGUUCGAAAGGUUGAGAAAGUACAAGCUUCGAUUGAACCCUAACAAAUGUACGUUCGACGUCAGAUCCGGGAAGUUAUUAGGCUUCAUUGUCAGCCAAAAGGGCAUUGAAGUCGACCCUGAUAAAGUCCGGGCCAUUCGAGAAAUGCCAGCCCCGCAGGACGAGAAACAAGUCAGAGGUUUCCUCGGGGCGUUUGAAUUACAUCUCCCGACUUCUAUAUCUCACAUGACCGCGAACCUACGCGGGCCGGACGUCUUCUAAGUUAACUNNNNNNNNNNNNNNNNNNNNNNNNNNNNNNNNNNNNNNNNNNNNNNNNNNNNNNNNNNNNNNNNNNNNNNNNNNNNNNNNNNNNNNNNNNNNNNNNNNNNUGUUUCAUCGUGGCGCUGGCGCGCUCAACAAGAUCCCAUAAAAUUUGGCAACGCGGCCAGUCUAUAACGGGCCGUCGUUAACAACAGUGAUUUAUGUGGUGUGUAUUAUUUUAUUAUAUGAUUUAUUUUAAUAUAAUUAGAAUAAUAUGAGAAAUAGAAUUAUUUUGGAGUGUGGGAGUUAAUUAGGAUUUAAUAAAAAAUUAAGGGAGUUUAAUGAAAUAAAGGAGGAGUUAUAGUUUUGGGAGUUAGGAAAAGAAAUGGUUAGAAGCAGUUUUACGUGAAACAAGUUUUGGGAGAAAAGAACCAAGAACAAGGGGAGAGAAGAACAAGUAGAGCCAAGAUCACCCGUGUGUCGUGCGAUUUCCUGAAAUAAGGUAAGGGUGAGACUAUCUCUCGAUAAUCAUAGUAUAUAAUUUCUGAAAAUUGUUUUAACAUGAAUUGUUCUUGAGAAUAAAAAUUGGGAAUUAGGGUUGAUGCUGAUUUUGAAAGGAAUGGUGUAAGAAUUAUGUUUAAUGUGUUGUAAUUUGAUGUUCAGAAUGAUUUCUUAAUCUAUAAUGUUGCUGUGAUCAGAAUUGGAAUGAAAUUAGAAUCUGUUGGAUAAAUUGGAGAAGUUUUGUGUGAUUGUUAGAAUGAUCUGAAUUGUUGUUGUUAAUGCUUGUUUUGUGUUCCUUUAGAUGCCUAGUUGUGUAUUGAACCUGUAAAUAUCUGUUGGAAAACGUUUUGGGUAAUCAGGGGAUUAAAAUUGAGUUUUGGAGUGAGAAGAGGGUUGAACCCGUAGGUUUUUGCACUGCCCAGAUGAAUGGUCGCUUAAGCGAACGACCCGUCGCUUAAGUGAGCAUUCACGCAAGCUUCCCAGAAUUCUGUUUUAGAAGUUCACUUAAGCGAACUGUGAGCGAGCCUGUAAUCGAAAAAAUAAUUCCAUUCUGCCAAGAGUUCGCUCAAGCGAACCAUAAGCGAACCCGUAAGCGAAAAAUCAAUUUCAUUCUGUCAGAAGUUCGCUCAAGCGAACCGUCAGCGAGCGGAACCUCAACUUUCUGUAAGCCGGUCGCUUAAGCGAACUAGCCAUCGCUUAAGCGAAGAUGACCUUAGUCAGCCACUUUUUGAACUUUGUGUAACGCCCUAUUUUAAUAUUUAUUUAUUUUAUUGAGUUUAGAGUCUAUUUAUAUGAUUUAUGUGAUUAAAACGAUUAUGUGGUGUGUUGUUAUUUUAUUAAGUGAUGUUAUUUUAUUAUUUAAUAGAAUAAGAUUUGAAAUAAAAUAAGAUUAAGUUGUGGGGGUUGUUUUGAGAAUUUAGAGAGUUUAAUAGAAUAAGUGAGAAUUAGGAUUUAAUUGGAGUUUUGGGGUUAAAUGAGAAUUAAGUGAAUUAAGUGGGCAUUAAUUAAAUAUUGGAAGAUUAUACUUACUGAGAAAAAGGAGAAAAUAGGGUUAGAACCAGUUUCACGUACAAACAGCUUUUGGGAGAAAAACCAAGAGAAAGCUAGGAGAAGAGCCAAGGGAGGAGAAUCAGAUUUUUGUAGAGCUUUGUUCAUCGAUCUAAGGUAAGGGUAAGACUAACUCUCAAUGAUUGUAAUGUAUAACUUCUGAAAAUUGAUUUAACAUGAAUUGUUCUUGAAAUAGGAAUUGGGGAAUUAGGGUUCUAAUACUGAUUUUGAGUUGAAAAGUGUAGGAGACAUGUUAAUUAUGCUUAGAAUCAUGUUCAGAUCGUUUUCAGGAUUUAGUAACAUUGUUGUAAUCAGAAUUGGGAAAGGUUGGGAGUUGUUGGAGAGAAUUUGAGAGAUUAUGCAAGAUUGUUGGAAUGAGCCGAAUUGUUGUUGUUGAUGCAUGUUUUAUGUUCCUUUAGAUGCCUAAUUGUAUAUUGAACCUAUAAACAAUCUUUGGAAACAUGUUUGGGCAUUGGGAGAUCAAAAUUGGGAGUUUUGGGUGAAAAAGGGGUGGAACCCGUAACAUUUUUCUGCAGAAAUUCUGAAUGGUCGCUUAAGCGACGCUGCAAAGUGUUGUCUGAUGACUGCACGCUUAAGCGUGCUGUAAGCGAGCUGGUAAGCGUGGAGUUACAGUAGCUACUGGAAUUUGGACGCUUAAGCGUGCAGGUGGACGCUUAAGCGAGUAGUUCUUUUUCCAGCACUUUUGGAAUUUUUUUCUGAGCUUCCUAGGGUCAAUCCGAACUUCUUAAAACAAUUCUUUUAACUUGUAUAAUCAUUAGUCUCAUACUUAAUCCUACUGGAACAUCUCCUUGAAUGAAAUUUGGACUUGGUUUGUGAAAUCAAAACUUAACUUUGAAAAUUGCUCAAGAACGUUGACUUUUCCGGAAAAUGGGAUCUUCAAGGAAAUGGAAUGGGAUUAAGAUAGAAUAGAGAUUAUAUGAUUACUGAAAAUCGUAGUGAUUGGUUUCCUUGAGUUUUAUUUGGCUUUGGUUUUAAAAAUGGAAGAUUCUUGUAAAAUGUUAAAGAGAGACGAACAUUGAUGAAAAUAUCCUUUUAAGCCAAUCACCUUAUAAAUCCUUCAUAUUUAGUUUUGUAUGACUAUAUGAAAGUAUUUGAUUGAUAGAUGAGUGUUGAAUGUGAUGUUUAUCUUAAGGUGAUGUAUUUUCCUCUUGACUUGGAAAGUGGGCAAAUCAUAUAUCUAAUGUGAAAUUAUGUAAAGGUGAUGAUAUUGGUGUAUCGAUAUACAUUGUUUAUUAUGAUUUGGUGGGUGAAUAUAUAUGUUGUUAUGAAUGUGUUAAUGAAUCUUGCUAUUAAGAGUCGUUGUGUCAUAGUUGACUAAGAGGUGGAGUAUGUCAUAAUUAAUUAUGUACAUUUGUUGUUGUUGUUGUCGUUGCUGUUGUUGAGUUGUAUGUAAAUAUACACAAGUGGAGUCAUAAGUCAUAUAUACAUAUAUGCAUUAGUUGAGUUGUAUGUAGAUAUACACAAGUGGGUCAGUUGCAUAAGCAUAAAAGUGAGAGAGCUUCGGCUCUGGAACGCCUUGUCGUUCAAAGCGGUGGAACACUAGUUGUUCAAAGCGGUGUUGAGCGGUGAGGACUUAUGUCCUGAUAAGAAUGCUUUAACCAUUCGACAGCGGUGUGGGUCAUGGCCCUGAUUAUGGUACCACAUGCAUAGUUGCAUUUGUUGAGGAGUCUUAGUGGAGUUGUCAUGUCUUGCAUGAGUCUUAGCGGUGGUGUCGAGUUGUUGCAUGAGUCGUUGUUGUUGGUUUUAAUUACCAUUUAUUGUUGAUGUUGUUAAUGAUGAUAUACUUAUAUAUUGAUGAAUUAUUAUUAUGAUAGGGUGUUAGAUUUAAUUGAUGAGUUAGAUAUCUAUUAUUGAUGAUAUUGUUGAUUAUGAAAUAUAUACAUAUAUUGGAUAAUUGUAGUUGCCGUUGUUCUUGAGAGAGUUGUUGUUGUUGUUGUUGAUUAAGUUGUGGUUGUCGUUGUUGAUUGAGUUGUCGUUGUUGUUGAUUAAGUUGUUGUCGUCGUUUUUGAGUGAGUUGUUGUCGUUGUUGUUGAAUCUUGUUGUUGUCGUCGUUGUUGGUUGAAUUAACAAGUGUUACUAAAGUUAAAGAAGUAAGAACAUUAUUGUUGAAUAUAUGUUGUUGUUUAUAUUAUUAUGAUAUUGAUUACGAUGUUAUGAUGACUGUUUAUGGUGUUGAAUAUGAGGUUGUUAGGAUGUUACAUGAUGAUGAUUAUGGAUGUUGUGAUGAUGGUUAUGUUAAGUUGAUACGUUGUCUUUUAUUCAUGUAUUGCUAAUGGAAUGUUUGAUGAAUAAUUAUUAUUAUGAAUUGAUGAUGUUACGUAUAGUUGUUAAGUUGUCUUCUAUUCAUGAGUUGUUAAUGAGAUGCUUGGUGGAGAAUGUUAAUAUGAAUUAAUGAUGUUGUUACGUUGUAUAUGAUUAUGAUUAAGAUAUUGAUUAUGAUGUUAAAUGAUGCUGUUAUGAUGUUGUUUAUGAUAUCGAGUUAUGACUGUUGAUAUGAUGAGUACAUGAUAUGGUUUAGGAGUCGUUAAAAGAAUUAUUAUUACUAAUUGAUGGAGUUUAAGUUGUUAGAUGCAUUUGAUGAAUUAUAUGCUUAUUAUUAUUGUUUGUGAAAUCUCACCCCUUCUGCUUGAAAAUGUUGCCCUUCGUAUGGUAAGUUUAGUUCGUAGGUAGGUNNNNNNNNNNNNNNNNNNNNNNNNNNNNNNNNNNNNNNNNNNNNNNNNNNNNNNNNNNNNNNNNNNNNNNNNNNNNNNNNNNNNNNNNNNNNNNNNNNNNCUAGUAAGUAAUUUUAUAGAGAUAAUUGUUAUAUAUAAUAUUAAUGAUGAUCUGUGAAGUCUUGAGUGAUGAUGAUUUGAUGUUGUUUAUAAUGUGAUAUAAUUGUAUAUGCAUUACUUGAAUUAUAUGUGAUUAUUUGAGAUGUUGUUUACUUACGUGCGAUAUUAUUAUAUCAUGAUGUUUUGCAUACUGCCUAUGUUGCUGAUUGUUAAUUAACUAAGCUGCAUGAGUCAAUCUAAGUCGUUGAAGAUGUUGAUGUUCCAAAUUAUUGGACUAUUAUAAGAGGUUGUCGAUUUAAGAUGUUUAAGAAGUCGAGUCCAUGCAUUAUCAUUUCAGCGAUAGGGGCUUGAUGCUCCGGAGUAUAUUGAUGCUCAAAUAGCGAUAGGGGCUUGAUGCUCCGGAAGUAUAAUAGUACUCAAAUAGCGAUUGGAGCUUGAUGCUCCGGAAGUAUAAUAAUACUCAAAUAGCGAUGGGGGCUUGAUGCUCUGUAUUGGUACCACAUGCAUAUAAGAGGUCUACGUUGCAUAGUCGAGUUGGAGUCGCAUUUGUCGAGUCAAAAGUGUUAAGUUGUCAAGUUGUUUAAGUGUGAUUCUUUAUUUGAACUAUUAAUGAUGUGAUAUAUGAUAUAUUAUUAUCUAUGAUGAAUAUUAUGAUGUUUUCACGUUGUUAAAUAUAAUUAUUGAAUUAUAUGUUUAAUAUUAUUGUUUUGUGAAAUCUCACCCCUUCUAAAUGUUGCCCACCAUGGGUAACUUGCAGGUAACCAAGAAUAGUUGAUGUCGUGUGAGGUUUCCCUCUCGUGUGUCUUAGGUGCUCUGAUACGUAACGGGAUGAGAUUUUGUUGUGGCUAUUUUCUAUUCCUUUACGUAUCGCUUAUGUUUUUACAUGACUAUGAUUUAAUUUGGAUUUUUAAGGGAUGUUUUAAUGAGGCCUUCGUGCCAAAGACUAUUUUAGAUGUUGAAUAAAUUCCGCUGCGAAGUAUUAAAUAUUAUGUUAUUGAUUUAUGAAGGAUAAAUAGUUAUUUAUUCCAUUUACCAUUUUUGAAAAGAAGUGUGACAUUCCGUUUAUGUUGAGAACUCUGAUUAUUUAAAUGAAAUUUUUACGUUGGGAAAACGGGGUGUUACAGAGACAAAAAUGUGUUAUGCAGUCUUUUUCCCUUAACCAUGGUUUUAUCCCAUUGGGUUUUCUUGGUAAGGUUUUUAACGAUGCAGAUUAUAACACAAAAGGAUGUUGUACUCUUUUUCCUUCACUGGAAUUUUUUCCCACUGGGUUUUUCUCUAGUAAGGUUUUAAUGAGGCAUAUCCUCGAUGGACAUCAAGGGGGAGUGUUAUGAAUAUUAUAAGUGGAUGUCCAUAUAACAAUUAGGUUAUUGGGUCGUACUAUUAGCUUAUUGGACCAUAUUGUGCUUGCUCCCUAAGUCAUUGGUGCUUGCUCCUCAAGUCAUUGUAUUUCUCUAUAAAUAGAGCUCAUAUGUAACCUAAUGGUACAUACUAAGAGAAUAAUAUAAUCCUCUUUCUUCUCUCUUUAUUCUCUCUUCUUCUCUUUAAUCUUGUUCUUCUUAUACUUAUUCUAAUAGUUUUAUAACACCUAUAAUUUUUUUAUAAAUAAUAUUUUUAAUAUGUUUAAAUAAUGCCUAGAACAAAAAUAAAUUGUAAACAUUUUCGUACAAACGUCGUAAACUAAAACCGCGAGGAAAACAAAUUUUAAAUAAAUUAGAUAUGUUAUGGUUAUAGAUAUUUAUAUAUUCGAUCUUUAAAACUAUAAAUAACGAAAUGAAUAAAUAUAAUUUUAUAUUACAUUUAUAUUUGUGUUAAUUCAUUGAAUUUUCACUUUUGUUUUUUUACUUUGAUAAUUAACUAAGUAAAUAAUUAUUUGAAUAAUAUAUAUAAUUUAUAGAAUUUUUUUUUUGUUAUGCGGGCUAACGGGCUACCCGCGGCCCAUUCGGGCUAGCCCUAACGGGUACCAGGCUUUUAAGGGCCGGGCUAAAAAGCCCUAUUAAAAUACGGGCUCAAUAUUUUAGGCCCAAGCCCUAUAUUUAUUCGGGCUAAACGGGCCGGCACAUUCGGCCCAGCCCGUUUUGACAGCUCUACUCCAUCUGAUCUUAUUAUUAAAACCAAUCCACAUUCGUUGAAUAACUAGUAUAUUUGAUAUAUAGAACAAAUACAAUAAUUAUUAUUAUUUUUAACAAAUUAAAAUGGUGUAAAUUGUUCAAAAGCAAAGUGAUUCAUCCCGCACAAGGUGUGCUAAAAUUGAUGAUUCACCCAAAGUCUGUUACAAACGACAAACACCUAACAACGAUGCCACCACCAAAACAAAAAAUAAAAUAAAAUAACNNNNNNNNNNNNNNNNNNNNNNNNNNNNNNNNNNNNNNNNNNNNNNNNNNNNNNNNNNNNNNNNNNNNNNNNNNNNNNNNNNNNNNNNNNNNNNNNNNNNGGUUAAAGCAUUCUCAACAGGACAUAAGUCCUCACCACUACACCACUUUGAGUAACUAGUACUCCACCACUUUGAACGACCAAGCAUUCCAGAGCCGAAGCUCUUCCACUGUUAUGUUUAAUGCAACUAAUCCCCAUAGAGUAUAUCUACAUACCAACCAACCUAUACAUAUACAUAUAUAUGAUUCACCAAUCAACUUACAUCUUUAAGGAAAUUUUAAUUAUAUACAACACACAUCAGUCAACAUCCAUUCAUCAAACCAACUAAAGCAUCCAGGGAAAUAUAUAUCAGCAUACAAGCCAUGCAAUAAUUCAACAAAAUACACCAUCCAAACAACAACAGAAAUUAACCAACCAAAUACUGGGCAGCUCGCCUCGCGAGCUCAUCUACUCGCUAUGGCGAGCUCAGGGAAACAGGUACUCGCCAUGGCGAGUUGGAGGCGAACUCGAGGCGAACAGAAAUAUGGUGCUCUCGGGAAAAAUGACAUUUUUCUCACUCAAACCUCAAUUCUAAGCUCCCUAAUCAUCUUUUGAACUUAAAACUUGCUCUAGUCCUCUUAAGAAUCAUCUAGGUACACGAAACUACCCAAAAUACGGCUUAUAACAACUUUUUCAAAAUCCAGAUUUUUACAAGGUUACUCGCCAUGGCGAGCUGUAUCACUCGCGAGGCGAGCGAUGAAGUUGUUCACUCGCUAUGGCGAGCAAUGGCUACUCGCGAGGCGAGCGAUGAACUUCAGUACGGGCAGAAUGCAGGUUUACCCCAAAAAUCCCAUUUUUCCUCAAUUCACUCCCCAAAUUAGCUUACAGAUAUGCAAUGAAAGGUUUUAUGCACCCAGAACCCAUUUCUACCCUCAAUUCUAUGAUUUCUACACUCAAAACUCCUUAAUCAACAAAAACCCAAUUUCUCCCAAAUCCUCACAUAAACCUGUUAGAACACAAUCAACAUUCAGAAUCUAUAUAAUUGCGGUAAACCUCACCCUUACCUUAGAAUUGCAGAAAAAAUACAGCAGCAAAUGAUUCCUAAGCUUCUCUCCCUUGCACUAGCUUUUCUCCCAAAACCAGACUGUUUUCACGUAAAACUGUUUUCUCUCUUUUUCUUUCCUUUUCUCCACUCCCAAAAUGUAACCUCCCACUCCCUAAUUAGCAAUUAACUCCCUACUAAUUAUGUUAAUUAUUUCAUAACCCCAAAAUAAUAAUUAAUCCUAUUCUUAUAUUAUUUUAAUUAUUUAAUAAAAUAAUCAUAUAAAAAUAAAUAUACACUACAUAAAUCACCAAAAAUCACAUAAAUGACACCACACAAUUAAAAAUAAUUAAAUAAAAAUUAGAGUGUUACAUGCUACACUUCUAAAAAUCAUAAAAUAGAUAAUUAAAAAAACUAAUCUUUCAACAUAAUUAUUUCAAAACUCGCAGCGGAUAAGUUCAUCAUCAUUAAUAAAGUCUUGGCACGCAGGCGUCAUUAAAACAUCUCAUAAAAUUCAGUUAAACAUCAUAAAUGAACACGUAAAAGAAUGAAGCAUGCAUAACAUAAACCCCAUCCCGUUACGUAUCAGAGCAACCUAGAUGACUCAGUGAGGCAAGGCCACUCACGACAGCAACACUGCACACUAAGCUCGAUCACCUGCAAGUUACUCAUACGAAGAGCAACAUUUCCAAGCAGAAGGGGUGAGAUUUCACAAAACAAUAAUAUUAAUCAAUAUAAUUCAACAAUCGCAAUUAACAACAUAAACAUCUUCAACAUAAUCAUCUUAAACAUCAUAGCAUCAUUGAUAAUAAAAUAUCAAGUUACCACUUCAUUCUAUCAUCAUAAAUAACAUAACAUCAUUUGACUCGAUAAUGCGACAAUGCAACCUAAACCUCUUAUAUGCAUGUGGUACCAAUUCAGGGCAUGAGCCCCCAACAUUAUAGUAUUAAUAUACUUUCAGGGCAUAAGCCCCCAACAGUUUAUUUUGAGCAAAUACUCCAUCGUGGUGAGUACAAACCUCCAGGGCAUGAUCCCCCAACAAAUGUAUGCUAAUGCAUGGACUCAAUCAUCUAAAACAUCUUAAUCAUCUCAUAUACAUCCAAUAAUUUGGAGUUCAACAUCAUCUUAAUCAUCUUGUAUAGACUCAUGCAACUUAGUUAAAUAACAAUAGCAGCAUAAUCAGAUCACAACAACAUUAACUUCAUAAUAUCAAUUCAUUUCAACAUCUUGAUCAUUCAAUAAUAUUUCAAGUAAUGCAUUUAAUCAUUAAAUCACAUUAGAAUCAGCUUAACAGUUCAUAACAGCUUCACAGAUCUCAGUUAACAUCUUAAAUAGGUCACAUUACUACCUAAGGGUCCAUCUCAAAAGUCAAGAAUACAGAAUUCGACAUGCUCUCUAGUCAUGCUCGCGAUGGCGAGUGUAACACCCCGACUUCCCAACAGUCAUAUUAAUAAGUAAAAUCAGAGUUAAAUCAACAACGGAGUGUUACACUGCUUUUCAAAAAUUCUUGAAUAGGAUAAAAUGCUAUUCAUUAAAUAAUAGUUCAUUAAAACAUAUCAAUUCAUCGCAGCGGGAAUAAUUUUCAACAUUAAACAUCCUUCAAAUAAAUCCUUGGCACUUGGCCUCAACAAAAUAUCUUUAAUGAUUAAAAUCAAUAUCAGCAGGUUCAUAAUGAUACAUAAGGAAUGAAAACAUGACAACGAUAUCCCAUCCCGUUACGUAUCAGAGCCCUAAGACACUUGAGCCACCACUUCUAAUAUUCNNNNNNNNNNNNNNNNNNNNNNNNNNNNNNNNNNNNNNNNNNNNNNNNNNNNNNNNNNNNNNNNNNNNNNNNNNNNNNNNNNNNNNNNNNNNNNNNNNNNAAUCCAGAGUAGGUUGCUGUUUGUGCUGUCGUGAGUGGCCUUGCCUCACUGAGUCUUAGGUUGCUCUGAUACGUAAUGGGAGGGGAUCUUUAGUGGCUAUUUCUCUUUCCUUUACGUACAUGUUAUGUUUUGAUGUUGAUUAACUGAACUUAUAAUGCGUUUUGAUGAGGCCUGCGUGCCAAUACUUAUUUAUGAUGAUGAACUUAAUCCGCUGCGAAGUAUUUGAAUUUAAUUAUGUUGAAAGAUUAAUUUUGUUAAUUAUCUGUUUUUAUGAUUUGUAGAAGUGUAGCACUCCGUUAUUUGAUGAUUACUCUGAUAAUUAUGUUGAAAUUUCUAAAUGUUCCUUUCAACUUAUAAGACCAUUAUAUAUACCUUGAAUCCUACUGAACACAUUGUUAAUCGAAUUGGUGUAAUUUAAUGAAUUUCGGAUUAGAGUGAGUACAAAACUAAAGUGAAAAUAUACUAUGUUGAAUGAACUUGAUGUAUUAGUAUGAUUGUUAUUAAUUAUACAUUUUUCUUGAUGUUGGAUUGGUUUGUGAUGAAGUUGUUGAAUUAUGAAGUCGUAUGUCAUAUAUACAUAUAUGCAUUGUCGAGUGGUAUGUAGAUAUACACAAGUGGAGUCGGUUGCAUAAGCAUUAAAGCGGGAGGGCUUCGGCUCUGGAACGCCUUGUCGUUCAAAGCGGUGGAACACUUUGUUGUUCAAAGCGGUGGAACACUUUGUUGUCAAAGCGGUGUUUAGCGGUGAUGACUUAUGUCCUAAAAAGAAUGCUUUAACCAUUCGAUUAGCGGUGAGGGCUCUGGCCCUGAAUAUGGUACCACAUGGAUAGUUGCAUUUGUCGAGGAGUCUUAGAGGUGCUGUCAUGUCAUUGCAUGAGUCGUUGUUGUUGGUUGAAUUGCUAUAUUAUUGAUGGUGUUGUUGAUUAUGAAAUACUUAUGCAUAUAGAAUAAUCAUUGAUAUUUUAGGGUGUUAGAUUUGAUUGAUGUUAUUAUAUAUUAUUAUUAUUAUUUGUGAAUCUCACCCCUUCUGCUUGAAAAUGUUGCCCUUCCUAUGGGUAACUUGCAGGUGAUCCUGAGUAGUAGGUGGUGGCUCAAUGUGUCUAGGACUCUGAUGCGUGGGUUGGGAUUUAUAGUUUAAGUUUCUACCUAUGUAUCAAAUUUUGGAACAAAUUAAUGUAGUCCAUGUUUUAUGUUGAAUUUUCAUGUUGAGGCUUAAUGCCAAGAUUAUUUUGGAUAAUGGAGUUUAAUUUAAAGAAUAUUCCGCUGCAGUUUAAUGAAGGAUGUUGUUAAAUAGUUUUAAUCUAUUUAAGAAUUUAUAUUUUGUAGUGUGACAUGCCGUUUAACGUGGAAC
rnacentral:lncRNA from 1 species